rnacentral:rRNA from 1 species
UACGUAGGGUGCAAGCGUUGUCCGGAAUUAUUGGGCGUAAAGAGCUCGUAGGCGGUUUGUCGCGUCUGCUGUGAAAACUCGGGGCUUAACCCCGGGCCUGCAGUGGGUACGGGCAGACUAGAGUGCGGUAGGGGAGACUGGAAUUCCUGGUGUAGCGGUGAAAUGCGCAGAUAUCAGGAGGAACACCGGUGGCGAAAGCGGGUCUCUGGGCCGUAACUGACGCUGAGGAGCGAAAGCGUGGGGAGCGAACAGG